UUGGAGAUUUGACUUGGCUCGGUUUGUCCGCGGGCGGCAUGCCUGCCGCAUGCAAGUCUAGCGGUUGCAGAAGAAAGCUUGCUUUCUGUGCUCAUGAGCGGCGGGCGGGUGAGUGGUGCCUGGGUAAGUGCCCUCUUGUGGGGUGUACCCAUUGGAAGGGUUGGCUAAGCCGCGUUAUGUCCUUGUUUAUAAUGACAGGGCCAAAGAGGGGGACCUCCGGGCCUCUCGCGUCAGGAUAUGCCCAGGUGGGAUUAGCUAGUUGGUGAGGUAAUGGCUCACCAAGGCGACGAUCCCUAGCUGGUCUGAGAGGAUGAUCAGCCACACUGGAACUGAGACACGGUCCAGACUCCUACGGGAGGCAGCAGUGGGGAAUAUGCACAAUGGGCGCAAGCCUGAUGCAGCCAUGCCGCGUGUAGAGAGGCCUUCGGGUUGUAAAGUACUUUCAGUCGUGGGAGGGGGUACGUUAAACGGUUUCUUGUCGUUGAGUCAGAGAAACAGGGCUACUCUG
rnacentral:rRNA from 1 species